ACACAGAAAGAAAUACGACUGCUUAGCUCUAACAGAAAUUUCUUCCAGCAGUCCUACGGAGAGAAAUUACAUAGCAGAUAA